AUUGAACGCUGGCGGCAGGCUUAACACAUGCAAGUCGAGCGAGCGGCGGACGGGUGAGUAAUGUCUGGGAAACUGCCUGAUCGAGGGGGCUAACUACUGGAAACGGUAGCUAAUACUGCUUACCAUCCGUUCUGCCCUGAUGGGAUUAGCUAGUGGGUGGGGUAAUGGCUCACCUAGGCGACGAUCCCUAGCUGGUCUGAGAGGAUGACCAGCCACACUGGAACUGAGACACGGUCCAGACUCCUACGGGAGGCAGCAGUGGGGAAUAUUGCACAAUGGGUGCAAGCCUGAUGCAGCCAUGCCGCGUGUGUGAAGAAGGCCUUCGGGUUGUAAAGCACUUUCAGCGAGGAGGCGUUACUCGCAGAAGAAGCACCGGCUAACUCCGUGCCAGCAGCCGCGGUAAUAC
rnacentral:rRNA from 1 species